rnacentral:rRNA from 1 species
GUCUAGGGGGCCCAGCAAUGGGUCACCGGCGAACGGGUGCGUAACACGUGAGCGACCUACCUUGAGAUGGGGGAUAGCCGGCCCAACGGCCGGGUAAUACCGCAUACGCUCUUCGGGCUACCUGGCCCUGAGAGGAAAGCCCUGGCGUCUCUAGAGGGGCUCGCGUCCUAUCAGCUAGUUGGUGAGGUAACGGCUCACCAAGGCGAUGACGGGUAGCUGGUCUGAGAGGAUGGCCAGCCACAUUGGGACUGAGAAACGGCCCAGACUCCUACGGGAGGCAGCAGUGGGGAAUAUUGCGCAAUGGUCGAAAGACUGACGCAGCGACGCCGCGUGGAGGAUGACGCCCUUCGGGGUGUAAACUCCUGUUGCUCGGGACGAACCUCCCUUUCGAGGGAACUGACGGUACCGAGUGAGGAAGCACCGGCUAACUCUGUGCCAGCAGCCGCGGUAAUACAGAGGGUGCGAGCGUUGUCCGGAAUCACUGGGCGUAAAGGGCGCGUAGGCGGCUUGGUAAGCGUGCGGUGAAAGCUCGAGGCUCAACCUCGAGUCUGCCGUGCGAACUGCCGAGCUGGAGCACGGUAGAGGCACAUGGAAUUCCGGGUGUAGCGGUGGAAUGCGUAGAGAUCCGGAAGAACAUCGGUGGCGAAGGCGGUGUGCUGGGCCGUA